GCUUCCAUGGUGUAGCUGGUUAUCACGCAGGUCUCAUACUCUGGUAUGACAUUGGGGCUCUAACCCCGAUGAUAUCCUGAGGUCCAGGGUUCGAACCCCUGUGGAAGCA
rnacentral:tRNA from 1 species